rnacentral:ncRNA from 1 species
UCCCAGAGGGCCCCUGAAACAUUUCAAAAAAAAAUUCUCCUAAGGCGAGCUCAGGGAGGACAGAAACCUCCCUUGGAGCAGAAGGGUAAAAGCUUGCUCGAUCCUGAUUUUCAGUGCAAAUACAGACCCUGAAAGCGGGACCUCUCAACCCUCCUGACCUUUUGGGAUUUAAGCAGGAG